AAGUAGCUUAACCCUAAAGCACUCAACUUACAAUUGAGAAACACUAGUCACAACCUAGUCUUUCUGAACACC
rnacentral:tRNA from 1 species